GAUUUCCUACGGGGCGCAGCAGUGGGGGAUAUUGCACAAUGGGGGGAACCCUGAUGCAGCGACGCCGCGUGGGUGAAGGAGCGUUUCGGCGCGUAAAGCCCUAUCGGCAGGGAAGAAGGAGGACGGUACCUGACUAAGAAGCCCCGGCUAACUACGUGCCAGCAGCCGCGGGAAUACGUAGGGGGCAAGCGUUAUCCGGAUUUACUGGGUGUAAAGGGGGCGCAGACGGCAGAGCAAGCCAG
rnacentral:rRNA from 1 species